CAAUCGGGUCCAUUUAUAUAGGCAACUCAAAUUACACGGCCUGUCAAAGUUUCCACCACCUUGUCUGUCUCUCUCUAGGACCUCUCUCUUGUAUGUUGGUGUCAAUCUUGCUUCACUAUUUGAAACAAGAAUCUACAGGUCGAGCAAGUCUCGUAAAUUUCACGAUUGCGAGCCACGCUUCACGCAACCGUGUUUGCGUACUUGUGUUUCGAGUUGCGUGGUGGUGCGGAGUUAUAUUUACCUUUAAAUAUAAAUCGUUUCUACUGAUUCAUAAUAAUAUGUAGGUAUACUAUUCUCAAUAUGGCUACUGGGUGUAAAAGAUAAAUCUUAUUCUAUCUGUUCUUCAUGAGUUUUAGAUAAUUUUAGUUGUAUUUCUUUGUAAUUUUGUGUUGUACAAAGAUUCAUUUAACAUUUUCUCUGGAAGUAUUAAUUUAGAAAGAUAAUAUGCUUCAUUGGUGUUGUGUUUUGAAGUGUGAAAUGCAAAGUAAUUGUGAUAAAGUCAAGAUAAAGUUCACUUUUAAACUGAACUAAAUAAGGUAUCUGAGAGACAACAAUGGUUAAAUGCAAUACAAUGUACAGGUUUUACUAGCGAAAUGAAAAUUUUCCUGUCCUGUCUGCUGUAAUCAUUUUAUAUCUGGAAAACCAGCCCAGCCGACUUAAUCGAUAAUAACAAUCUCCAGAUUGGGUUCCUUCAAUAAAUAUGGGCUAUAAACACAAUGAAAUAAGUUCCCCAAAAUCUAAAAUGGAGUGGUAUCAAAGGAGAAUUAAAGGAAAAAAUAUUCAUAUUGAAAUUAUUUAUAAGGCACUGGACUGUCUUAAAUUCUACAAUAAUACUAGAAUCAGCUGAGAGAAGUGGUUUACAAAAAACCAGGAAGGAAACGGAAUAUGUGGCUACGAAAGGCAAAAGAAAGGUUUACAAAGCAAAUGUGACACAUUUUUUUGAAAUAUUUAGGAAUAUCAGUAAAUUGCAUUAAAAAAAUGUAUGAAAAGAUUUUGUUCAAUAAAAAUGUUUAUAUUUA